rnacentral:piRNA from 3 species
UAGAUGACUUCUCCUGGAGAGUUGGAUCAGG